rnacentral:rRNA from 1 species
UACGGAGGGUGCGAGCGUUGUCCGGAAUCACUGGGCGUAAAGGGCGCGUAGGUGGCGCAGGAAGUCAACGGUGAAAGUUCGGGGCUCAACCCUGAAUCGGCCGCGAUACUCCUGGGCUCGAGCACUGUAGAGGCAGAUGGAAUUCCGGGUGUAGCGGUGGAAUGCGUAGAGAUCCGGAAGAACACCGGUGGCGAAGGCGGUCUGCUGGGCAGUUGCUGACA